AGGGAGGGAGGGAGGGAUGGAUGGAUGAAGAAGUAGGUCUGGGCAGGGAAGGGACGUGGGAAACUGGGAGGCUCUGCCCAGCCAGCGGCUGUUAUUAUAUAACGCUGUUAUGCAAAGCCAAACGGAGGUGUGUGGGGCUUCGAGCUCCCCCGGGCAGGGCGGGUGGAGCAGCGAGGCCUCGGGGGUGACCGCUGUGGGUGGAGCACGGGCCCCGCUGCGGGUGUCAGGGCGAAGGUGCUGGGCCCCUUCUCCUCCCACAGGUCCCCGGGCUCCCAGACCAGCUUUAAGAGGUCACUCGUUCCAUGAGGUGUGAGUAAAGCCACACACCGUGGCUCCGAUGGCUAGGAAACAACGUCGGCACCUCCACCUUUGGUUUUGGCAUUUUGAGCAGGCUAACAGGAUCUUGUAUGUGAUCCAUGGGGCACUGUUGAACAUGGAGGCAGUUGCUUCUGAAUGAAAACUUGCUGAAGCUGGAAACAGCAUCUGCUGGAUCAUGUGGGAUCCGGGGCCCAGAGCCCCGUUUCUGCUUUUGUGUAAAAUUUGGUAGAAAAACUCUUCUCAGCUUUGGAGACAUUCUGCCAGCUGCAAAUCCCAUUGCCAUCUAUUCUCAGACUUGUACAAUACACGAACAAUAAGGGAUCCUGGGUUGUGGCUGUCACUUUGUAAUAGCAGAUAAAGAAAAUGUUAUUUCA